AUUGAACGCUGGCGGCAUGCCUUACACAUGCAAGUCGAACGGCAGCACGGGAGCAAUCCUGGUGGCGAGUGGCGAACGGGUGAGUAAAGUAUCGGAACGUGCCCAGUCGUGGGGGAUAACGUAGCGAAAGUUACGCUAAUACCGCAUACGAUCUAUGGAUGAAAGCGGGGGAUCGCAAGACCUCGCGCGAUUGGAGCGGCCGAUAUCAGAUUAGGUAGUUGGUGGGGUAAAGGCUCACCAAGCCGACGAUCUGUAGCUGGUCUGAGAGGACGACCAGCCCCACUGGGACUGAGACACGGCCCAGACUCCUACGGGAGGCAGCAGUGGGGAAUUUUGGACAAUGGGCGAAAGCCUGAUCCAGCCAUGCCGCGUGCAGGAUGAAGGCCUCCGGGUUGUAAACUGCUUUUGUACGGAACGAAAAGGUUUGGGCUAAUAAGCUGAGCUCAUGACGGUACCGUAAGAAUAAGCACCGGCUAACUACGUGCCAGCCGCCGCGGUAA
rnacentral:rRNA from 1 species